rnacentral:rRNA from 1 species
UACGUAGGCAGCGAGCGUUGUCCGGAAUUACUGGGCGUAAAGCGUGCGCAGGCGGUUGUGCAAGACAGAUGUGAAAUCCCCGGGCUUAACCUGGGAAUUGCAUUUGUGACUGCACGGCUAGAGUGUGUCAGAGGGGGGUAGAAUUCCACGUGUAGCAGUGAAAUGCGUAGAUAUGUGGAGGAAUACCGAUGGCGAAGGCAGCCCCCUGGGAUAACACUGACGCUCAUGCACGAAAGCGUGGGGAGCAAACAGG